rnacentral:rRNA from 1 species
UGAGGAAUAUUGGGCAAUGCCCGCAAGGGUGACCAAGCAACGCCGCGUGGAGGAUGAAUGUCGUAAGAUUGUAAACUCCUGUUAGAGGGGAAGAAUAGUACCGGUUGGACCGGUAUAUGACUGUACCCUCAGAGAAAGCCCCGGCUAACUACGUGCCAGCAGCCGCGGUAAUACGUAGGGGGCAAGCGUUGUCCGGAUUUACUGGGUGUAAAGGGCGCGCAGGCGGGAUAAAAAGUCAGUGGUGAAAUCCUACAGCUUAACUGUAGAACUGCCUUUGAUACUUUUAUUCUUGAGUUCGGGAGAGAGAGACGGAAUUCCAGGUGUAGUGGUGAAAUACGUAGAUAUCUGGAAGAACACCAGUUGCGAAGGCGGUCUCUUGGUCCGACACUGACGCUGAGGCGCGAAAGCGUGGGGAGCAAACA